rnacentral:misc_RNA from 1 species
AACUGAUACUACCUGCGGGAACCUGCGGAGGGAUCAUUACAGGACUCGCAAGACUCCUUACACCCUGUGAACCUUACUGUAUACGCGUUGCUUCGGCGGGUCCGCCCGCCGGCAGCAUACCACAUUCUGUUUCUCUGCGUUGGCAUCUCGAGAAAAAAGCAAAUAAGUUAAAACUUUCAACAACGGAUCUCU